GAUGAACGCUAGCGGCAGGCUUAAUACAUGCAAGUCGUGGGGCAGCAUGAAUGUAGCAAUACAUUUGAUGGCGACCGGCAAACGGGUGCGGAACACGUACACAACCUUCCUAUAAGUGGGGAAUAGCCCAGAGAAAUUUGGAUUAAUACCCCGUAACAUAACGAUGUGGCAUCACAUUGUUAUUAUAGCUUCGGCGCUUAUUGAUGGGUGUGCGGCUGAUUAGAUAGUUGGCGGGGUAACGGCCCACCAAGUCUACGAUCAGUAGCUGAUGUGAGCGCAUGAUCAGCCAAACGGGCACUGAGACACGGGCCCGACUCCUACGGGAGGCAGCAGUAAGGAAUAUUGGUCAAUGGACGCAAGUCUGAACCAGCCAUGCCGCGUGAAGGAUUAAGGUCCUCUGGAUUGUAAACUUCUUUUAUCUGGGACGAAAAAAGGCUUUUCUAAGUCACUUGACGGUACCAGAUGAAUAAGCACCGGCUAACUCCGUGCCAGCAGCCGCAGUAACAC
rnacentral:rRNA from 1 species